AAGCUCGUAGUUGAAUUUCGGGAUCAAAUUGUCGGUCGUGCCUCGGUACGUACUGGCGUUAUUGGUUCCUCCCUUCUGAAGAACCANGAUGUCAUUAAUUUGGUGUCGCGGGGAAUCAGGACUGUUACUUUGAAAAAAUUAGAGUGUUUAAAGCAGGCUCGCGCUUGAAUACAUUAGCAUGGAAUAAUGAAAUAGGACGUUUGAUUCUAUUUUGUUGGUUUCUAGGAUCGACGUAAUGAUUAAUAGGGAUAGUUGGGGGCAUUAGUAUUCAAUUGUCAGAGGUGAAAUUCUUGGAUUUAUUGAAGACUAACUACUGCGAAAGCAUUUGCCAAGGAUGUUUUCAUUAAUCAAGAACGAAAGUUAGGGGAUCGAAGACGAUCAGAUACCGUCGUAGUCUUAACCAUAAACUAUGCCGACUAGGGAUCGGAUGAUGUUAAUUUUUUAAUGACUCAUUCGGCGCCUUACGGGAAACCAAAGUGUUUGGGUUCCGGGGGGAGUAUGGUCGCAAGGCUGAAACUUAAAGGAAUUGACGGAAGGGCACCACCAGGGGUGGAGCCUGCGGCUUAAUUUGACUCAACACGGGGAAACUCGCCAGGUCCAGACAUAGUAAGGAUUGACAGAUUGAGAGCUCUUUCUUGAUUCUAUGGGUG
rnacentral:rRNA from 1 species